AUUGUCUUAGUUGGGAUUUGUAGAUUAAUUAGUGUUUUUUGUCUAUUUUACAUGUAUAGCGGCCAUUGAGCUAUGUGGAUUUGUUGAAUGCACCUUAUUCGCCCGUGGAUCGAGAGGGGGCAGAGGUAAUAGUGACAGUUUCUCCAUCGAUGGUGAGCCAUCCUUAGUCCAUUGGAGAAGCAUCUCAGGCAUCAGUACGUCAUUGUUCUCUAUAUUAUAGCUUUUAAGUGUUUUUGAUGUAUUUAUAUUAGUACAUUUUAUUAAUUGUACAUUUAAUCUACAAUAGCCCCCUUCGCGGUUCAGCCAUAAUGUGGAUCCUUUUAAGUUUGUCUUCAAGAAAACUCCUAAGAGUGACAAGGAGAGGAGAGUGAAGACAUUAGCUCUGAGAUCAGCCGAUGAGAGCCGUGUAUUGCAUCGAAGAGGCUUGAUUUUGAUGAUCCACCACAAGUUUAGGAUCAUAUAGUGUUAGUUGUGGUCAUAUAAUGACUAAUACAUGUAGAUAUAUUCUAAUUUUUUUAUUGUAUAUUGAUUUGGACAUGGCAUAUGCCACAUUUUUGUAAUACUUGUAUUGA